CUCAGAGGAAGAGAAUGGGAGACAAAGGACCUGGUGAUUAGACCCCCAAGACACUGGGCUGUCUGCUUGUGUCUCGGGUGGAACAGGCCCAGCGAGAGUCUUUAGGGCCAGAACUCAAGAAUUUAUUGAGCCCUUGUUCUAGGCACUUGGGAUUCACCAGUAUACAAUGGAGACAAAAAUCCCUGCCCUGGAGCAGCUUACAUUCUAGCAUGGCAAACAGGCAGUAAACAGCCCAUUCUGGCUGCUGUAUUGAGAAGAGAAUGUGGUGGACAGAUAUAGAAGCAUGGAAACCUGAUAGGGCUAUUGCAAUCACUCAGAAAAGAGGCGAUGGCAGCUUGGACCUGUUGGAAGCAGUAGAGUGCUUCCAGGGAGGAGAAAGGACCUGAAGGUUAAUUUGAUCACCAAUGGCCAAUGAUGUAAUCAGUUAUGCCUAUGUAAUGAAGCUUCCGUAAAAACCAAAAGGAUUGGGUUUGAUUGAGCUUCUGGAUAGCUAAACAUGUGGAAGUUCCUGGAGGAUGGUGGUCCUAAACAGGGUAUGGAAGCUCCAUGCCCUUUCCUAUAUGCCUUACACUAUCCAUCUAUUCCACCUGGCUGUUUAACUGUAUCCUUUGUAAUAUCCUUUAUAAUAAGUGGGUAAAAGUAAGUAAAGUGUUUAUCUGAGUUCUCUGAGCAGUUCUAGAAAAUUAAUCAAACCUAAGGAGGGGGUUGUUGGAAUUCCUGAUUUAUAGCCAGUUCUUCAGAGGUAUAGGUGACAACCUGCUAUUUGUGACUGGCAUUGGAAGUAGGAAGAAGUCUUAUGGGACUGAGCCCUCAACCUAUGGAGGCUGAUGCUACAUCCAGGUUACCAGAAAAUUUAAAGUUACGCCAGUCACUCCCAUUCUAUUGCUGAGAGAAAAUACAGAGCGGUGAAGAGCUUACAGUCGGACCGCGCUGCACGCCGGCGGCAGCCAUGGCGGAUGUGUCAGAGAGGACACUGCAGUUGUCCGUGCUAGUAGCCUUCGCUUCUGGAGUACUCCUGGGCUGGCAGGCGAACCGACUGCGGAGGCGCUACUUGGACUGGAGGAAAAGGAGGCUGCAGGACAAGCUGGCGGCGACGCAGAAGAAGCUGGACCUGGCCUGAGACUCUGCGCCUUCCGCCCCAUUCUGUCCCCCUCAUGGCCACCUUGCCAUGUCCGCGCCGGAGCCCCGGUCCGCCGGCGCCCAGAACCAGGCUUGCCACACAGUCCCCGCCUGCCAUGGCCGGCUCUUCCUGGAGUGUUG
rnacentral:lncRNA from 1 species